GAAGCUUUCAACACAAACCCGAGGUAAGAAGAGAAAGAGAGUUGAGGUGAAGGGAAUACAACAAUAACAACGGCAAAGGAAAAAGCUCGGCAGACAACAGUUGGACGCAAAGUACGGACAAGGUAACAAAAUCACUUCCUCAUUUUUCGACUAACAAGAUGUACGUUACAAGACCCGGAGGGCCGAAAAAGAAUACAUUAUUACAAGGC
rnacentral:lncRNA from 1 species